GGGUCAGUAGGUUGGUCGUGCCACCGGUACGUACUGGUCUCACUGAUCCCUCCUUCCUGAAGAACCGUAAUGCCAUUAAUUUGGUGUUGCGGGGGAACAGGACUGUUACUUUGAAAAAAUUAGAGUGUUUAAAGCAAGCUAACGCCUGAAUACAUUAGCAUGGAAUAAUGAAAUAGGACGAUCGAUCCUAUUUUGUUGGUUUCUAGGAUUGACGUA
rnacentral:rRNA from 1 species